AUAUUUAGUAAUUGACAGGUAAUGCUGCACGAGACAACAAGAAAAGUCGCAUCAUCCCACGGCAUUCGUGCUUGCUAUCCGCAAUGAUGAAGAACUUAAUAAACUUCUGUCGGGAGUCACCAUUGCUCAGGGAGGAGUGCUGCCAAACAUCCAGGCUGUGCUUUUACCAAAGAAGUCCGAAACCAAGGUAGGCAAGCUUAAGAGCCAGUCUCAAGAAUACUAGAUGUUUGGACCUCCACAGCUGAGGGAACUACAUGAAGAUGGAAUUUGGAUUGCAAGACCCUGGGAAUUGUUGAAAUUGAAUGGACAUUUUUUUAUUUUGUCUUAUAUUUUUCUUUUUUUAUAUACCCUUCUCAGCUAAAUGAAUGUUUGAUUGCAGAAUUAAAGCCAAUUUGAUGAUUGGGUUUCUAUUGUAGUUCUGAAAUCAGUUUAUGAUAAUUUUGUUUUGGAUUGUCCUACAAAUGAAGAAUUGUUAAGCUUUGUUUACUGUAUAGUUUUCUCUGGUUUAAGGGAGAUUGUCUCAGUCAUAAAGGACCUGUAUUUCUAUUCCAAGGUGAAACCUAUGGUAUGCCUAAAUAUGAUAAAUUUUAUUUGAUCAGAAUUACAUAGGGGCUUCAGAAAUAUGAUCAAGGUAGUCCUGGAAAUUUAAUCAUUUGCUGUUAUUGUGUUUGAAUGAUUUCUCACCCUCCUUAUCUUUUCUGAUUUCAUGAAGUACAAUUUUUUUUAAGUUUAAGGUCAUUUCACAAAUGAAGUUAUUUUAAAUGUCAAACCAUUCAUGUGGUGUGCUUUUGUAUUAAAUAAAUGAUUUUAA